GACGAACGCUGGCGGCGUGCCUAAUACAUGCAAGUGGGACGCAAGGGAACACACUGUGCUUGCACACCGUGUUUUCUUGAGUCGCGAACGGGUGAGUAACGCGUAGGUAACCUGCCUAUUAGCGGGGGAUAACUAUUGGAAACGAUAGCUAAUACCGCAUAAUAUUAAUUAUUGCAUGAUAAUUGAUUGAAAGAUGCAAGCGCAUCACUAGUAGAUGGACCUGCGUUGUAUUAGCUAGUUGGUAAGGUAAGAGCUUACCAAGGCGACGAUACAUAGCCGACCUGAGAGGGCGAUCGGCCACACUGGGACUGAGACACGGCCCAGACUCCUACGGGAGGCAGCAGUAGGGAAUCUUCGGCAAUGGACGAAAGUCUGACCGAGCAACGCCGCGUGAGUGAAGAAGGUUUUCGGAUCGUAAAGCUCUGUUGUAAGUCAAGAACGUGUGUGAGAGUGGAAAGUUCACACAGGACGUAGCUACCAGAAAG
rnacentral:rRNA from 1 species